UACCAAGGCUUGACAUACACGAGAACGGGCCAGAAAUGGUCAACUCUUUGGACACUCGUGAACAGGUGGUGCAUGGUUGUCGUCAGCUCGUGUCGUGAGAUGUUGGGUUAAGUCCCGCAACGAGCGCAACCCUCGUUCUAUGUUGCCAGCACGUAAUGGUGGGAACUCAUGGGAUACUGCCGGGGUCAACUCGGAGGAAGGUGGGGAUGACGUCAAAUCAUCAUGCCCCUUAUGUCUUGGGCUUCACGCACGCUACAAUGGCCGGUACAAUGGGCUGCGAUACCGUAAGGUGGAGCGAAUCCCAAAAAGCCGGUCCCAGUUCGGAUUGAGGUCUGCGACUCGACCUCAUGAAGUCGGAGUCGCUAGUAAUCGCAGAUCAGCAACGCUGCGGUGA
rnacentral:rRNA from 1 species